GGUAAUUCUCUUCAUUGUUUACUCACUCACGUUUCAUCUGUUACCAAAGUGUUCACAAGGUUGUCCAUCACAAAGAAUGCUAGCUAUCGACUUAUAUACCUACAGAUGGCUAUUUCUAGAAACUGUACAUUAAUAGCAAAAUUACUAUGAAAAGGAAAUUAGGACUCUCUCUUGGAAAGUGUGUCCCAACUAUUCCGAGCGCUGUGGCAGGUGUCAUCGUACAAUAAGCAAUGUGCUUGUCCCACAAUGAAGAAGAGUUCCAAAAAGCGCAAAGCAUUCUGAACUGCGGGAGAAGAUGAAGCAGACAAAAAUAUGUAAAAUCUAGUGACUUGGUUCUCGCUUUAAUAUGCAGUAAAUUUGUUUCCAAAUUU